UUGGACAGACUGUCCUGAUGGUGUUGCCAGAGGUGAGGAUGCGCUUUCUCUUCUUGAAAACUCACAGACACGUGGCCAUUUCAUCAAUGAGCUGAAGGAGUUGGAAAUGUUCCUGUGCCAGCGGCUCAGUGAGAUGCGUGAAGAAGGUGACUUGGUGACCAUGAGUCAGUUCCAGCUUGCUCCCUCAAAGAUUCAGGCCCAGACUCCCGAGCGUGUGCAGGCCAUGCUGGCAGACGUGCGUGACCUGCUAAACGGGCUCACUUCAGUACGAAUGCAGCACCUCUUCAUGAUCCAGGCGUCACC